rnacentral:lncRNA from 1 species
GAGCUUUCCACCUUCCUGCGAUCAUCAAGCCUCCCCAGCUAAGUUCCCUGAGGCCCACGGUGAGUCCUUCAGUGGGUCGCCGUGAUCCGGCCCAGCAGACCCGCCCCCCUGGGCGCCCUGAACUGCAACAUUGUUGCAACCACGGGGAAAGGCGUCCCCAGGCGGCCACCUGCUCCUCUGAGAUACGAGAGGAGGGCGUCUGAAAGCCCUGUGGUUGGACCGAAAGAGGACACGGCCCCCAAACAAGGGAGCAGAUGAGCCAGAGAAGAACCUGGAGAAAGUGAGCGUCAGUGGCCUCCAAAGCCACGGACCCCUGGCCGCGGGUCCCCGCGAAAGCGGGCUUCCCUUCCCAGACGUCCAAGGGCCUGGUUUCUGCUUCCCCAGGCCGGUUCGGCUGCUGGAGGUACGUGGGGGCCCAGCGUGCGGUCACAGCCUUGCUCAGAGGAGUGUCAAUGCGGCGACAGCUUUCUCCUCGGAAUCCUCAGCAUAUGGAAGUUCCCAGACCAGGGAUCGAAUCCAAGACAGAGCAGUGACCUGAGAAAUUGGAGGUCGAUGCUGAGGAUGGAGCCUGUUCUCAGCAGUGACCUGAGAGACAACGUUGGAUCCUUAACCUACUGCCACAGCAGGAACCCCUACGUCCACCUGAAUUUUAAUAGAAUGUUCUUUUUUCCUCUCGGCUGUUCUUACUACAUCCACAGCGUGCUCUGCUGUUGGGGGACAGCCAAAAAGGUGUGGAAUUAUAAAGGGAAAAAAAUAAACUCUUGCUUUCCUGCCAAAUAGCAGAAAAAUAGAAUUUCUGGAGUUAGGAGCACAUGGUAGGUUACUAGAAAGUAGCACAUUUGACUUAGUGUUUCUUGGACGAUGAGAGUCAGUGAGGCUGAUGGUGUCACAGGCAGCGCAUGCUAAUAGAUGUGUCUAAAGCAAUAGUCUGAAGUUACAAUUUGGAAUUAUCCACGUUUAAGAGAAACAGCAUUAGUCGCAAAAGUUCUGACUUUGUUCAUGGCAAAAUAACUGUGCAUUUUCCCUAAAACUACCAGUGUUGAAUAAGAUAUUGUGAAAUUUAAAGAACUGAGCAUAGAAAUAAUUUUACAGGAGUUCUUUCUCCUUAUUAGCAUAGGCAAGUUUGCCACACUACACACUUAAAAUGAGAGUGAUUCUAAAACUUUGUAAAUGGAACCCUAAUAAAAACUCUCUCUCUCUCACACACAUACACACACACACACACACACACACACACACACACACACACACACACACACACAUAUAUACACAUAUAUAUAUAUAUUCGUUAAACACUGAGCCACGAGGGGAACUCCUAAAAACUCUAAAGAUUCUACUCUUUGGCUCCCAUCGUGGCGCAGCGGAAAGGAAUUGGACUAGGAACCAUGAGGUUGCAGGUUUGAUCCCUCCCCUUGCUCAGUGGGUUAAAGAUCUGGUGUUGCCGUGGCUGUGGUGUCGGUCGAAGGUCGCAGAUACGGCUCGAAUCUGGCGCUGCUGUUGCUGUGGCUGUGGUGUAGGCCAGAGGCUAUAGCUCUGAUUAGACCCCUCACCUGGGAACCUCCAUGCUGCCGAUGCGGCCCUGAAAAGACAAAACAACAACAACAAAAAGGUUAUACUCUUCACCUUCACCAGCUCGUAGGCUCUCAGUCAGCCCGUCCUUCCCAGCGUUCAUUCCCUUUGCUCCAGCCUGGUCCAAAAGGGCUCUGAGGGCAUUUGCUUGGAAAGGAAAGCAGCUUUUUUAAAAUUAAAAGUCCGAGGUGAUGUUUAGCCUUCUUCCUCAGUCCGCUGUCACUGGAAAAAAAAUGGUUCUUAAAACCAUAAACCAGCCACAUUAUGACAUAAUUUUAGUUGUAGGAUCACUAAGUACCUAUGUAGCAUUUCUGUAAGGUUAUUUCCAUUGAAGAAAUAUAUAUUUAAGCAGAUAAGAUGGCAGCACCCUUUUCUCGUAGAGUUUAUUUCCAAUCCCAGGUAGGUUCAGUGAUGGUUGGGUUUGUUAGAAUGGUCAUCAGAAGGUAGAAAGUCCAAGAACGCGCUGCAGAGAAGACGGAUGAAAGGUUGGGGGAUGUCCAGCCUGGGAAAGUGCAGCUUAAAGGGACCACGACGCCACCCUUAGCGCCUGGAGGACUGUCCGCAGGGAAGCCACCAACUCCCACCUUCCAACAGCUGGGGGUUCAGACCCUAAACCCUCACCACAGGAGAAUGGGGAGACACUACAGGUUUCCCCAGGAGAAGCCUAAGUGUGGACAGUGUGAUCUCAGGUCUGCCAAUGGACGUGGACACGUGGUUGGGUUUCUGGAGAAAACCACCAGCAGAGGGGGCAGCAGGCUUCCCACACAGGUGGGAGGGGCUGGCAUCCUCAAGGCCCCCGGGUUGUCUCAUUGGCUUGUACCUCCCUUUGAUUCUGUGAGCGCUGCCAAGAUGUUUGCCAAGUGCACAAUCUUAAAUAUAAUGGUAGGAUAUGAGUUGCAGCCCCGGGGAAAUCAAUUCAACAGUCUGUGGUCGUCUAUAGGGAAAGAAUCUGGAAAAGACUGGAUAUUUGUGUGUGCAUCGCUGAUUCCCGGUGCUCUACACCGGAAACUACACAACAUUGGAAGUCACCUACACUCCAGGAAGAUGUAUUUAAAAAGUUAUGGAUACUUAAUCACUUUUUAAAAGCUAUUAUGAAUUAUGCAGUAACAAAAGAUAUGCAACAACAUCUUCACUUAAGUUAAUUUUAAGCACAUAUUAGUGAAGGCUGCAGGUUCCAAAGGCUGACAAAAGUGACUGUGAAUGGCAGCUGAUUGUGUUACCUGAUCUCAAGUUUGCAUUUAUAAUGUGGGGUUAAGGAUGACAAUUCGAAUAAGUGACGGUGAGAUUUAAGUAUAUGUAGAGCACAAAACAGAGUGGCUUUUAAUCACUAGACUUGAUAAGUGGAAUCUAUUAUUAUGAAACAUUGUGUUAGUACAGAUUUUGCAGUAAUAAUGGUCUUUUGUACGAGACCCUUUGUGUACUGCACUCCAGGAAACCACCCACAAAGCACCAUCUACCUGCUGAGUGGGUGUUACACUAAGUUUAGGCUGUCUAACUCAGAAGAAAAUAAAACAUCCUGGUUGGGUAAUAAAUGUAAAUAAAACCCCCCCAAAAUGCACCUUUACUAAACAUGGGCAGUCUUUCCUCAGUAACUGAGUUUCUUUGUCUUCAGCCCAUUAUUUUCUGCUUUCCUUUCAGAAAACAAUAAAUGCAUUGCAGUG